rnacentral:rRNA from 1 species
CAUACGACCGUACCGCAAACCGACACUGGUGCGCGAGAUGAGUAUUCUAAGGCGCUUGAGAGAACUCAGGGGAAGGAACUCGGCAAAUUGACACCGUAACUUCGGAAGAAGGUGUGCCCUAUUAGUGUGUAGUGAACAACGAAGCAUGAAUGGGUUGCAAAAAAUCGGUGGCUGCGACUGUUUAUUAAAAACACAGCACUCUGCAAACACGAAAGUGGACGUAUAAGGUGUGACGCCUGCCCGGUGCUGGAAGAUUAAAUGAUGGGGUGCAAGCUCUUGACUGAAGUCCCAGUAAACGGCGGCCGUAACAAUAACGGUCCUAAGGUAGCGAAAUUCCUUGUCGGGUAAGUUCCGACCUGCACGAAUGGCGUAACGAUGGCCACACUGUCUCCUCCUGAGACUCAGCGAAGUUGAAAUGUUUGUGAUGAUGCAAUCUCCCCGCGGAAAGACGGAAAGACCCCAUGAACCUUUACUGUAGCUUUGUAUUGGACUGUGAACAGAUCUGUGUAGGAUAGGUGGGAGGCUUUGAAGCAGGGUCGCUAGAUCUUGUGGAGCCAACGUUGAAAUACCACCCUGGUGUGUUUGAGGUUCUAACCUAGGUCCAUUAUCUGGAUCGGGGACAGUGCAUGGUAGGCAGUUUGACUGGGGCGGUCUCCUCCCAAAGCGUAACGGAGGAGUUCGAAGGUACGCUAGUUACGGUCGGACAUCGUGACGAUAGUGCAAUGGCAUAAGCGUGCUUAACUGCGAGACUGACAAGUCGAGCAGAUGCGAAAGCAGGACAUAGUGAUCCGGUGGUUCUGUAUGGAAGGGCCAUCGCUCAACGGAUAAAAGGUACUCUGGGGAUAACAGGCUGAUACCGCCCAAGAGUUCAUAUCGACGGCGGUGUUUGGCACCUCGAUGUCGGCUCAUCUCAUCCUGGGGCUGUAGCCGGUCCCAAGGGUAUGGCUGUUCGCCAUUUAAAGAGGUACGUGAGCUGGGUUUAAAACGUCGUGAGACAGUUUGGUCCCUAUCUUCCGUGGGCGCUGCAGAUUUGAGGAAGCCUGCUCCUAGUACGAGAGGACCGGAGUGGACACACCUCUGGUGUAUCGGUUGUCACGCCAGUGGCAUUGCCGAGUAGCUAAGUGUGGAAGAGAUAACCGCUGAAAGCAUCUAAGCGGGAAACUCGUUUCAAGAUGAGAUCUGCCGGGGCCUUGAGCCCCCUAAAGAGUCGUUCAAGACCAGGACGUUGAUAGGUCAGGUGUGGAAGCG